rnacentral:tRNA from 1 species
ACUUUCAAGGGACAGAAGCAGCCCACUAAUUUUAGGAAUUACCACCCCCUGGUGCAAAUCCAGGUGAAAGUA